rnacentral:rRNA from 1 species
AGUGAACGCUGGCGGCGUGCUUAACACAUGCAAGUCGAACGAGAACGGAUUAUAGCUUGCUAUAAUUGUCAGCUAAGUGGCGCACGGGUGAGUAAUGUAUAGGUAAUAUGCCUCUUACUAAGGGAUAACAAAUGGAAACGUUUGCUAAUACCUUAUACUCCUUAUUAACAUAAGUUAAUAAGGGAAAGAUUUAUUGGUAAGAGAUUAGCCUGUAUUGUAUCAGUUAGUUGGUGGGGUAAUGGCUUACCAAGACUAUGACACAUAACUGGUUUGAGAGGAGUAUCAGUAAAACUGGAACUGAGACACGGUCCAGACUCCUACGGGAGGAAGCAGUGGGGAAUAUUGCACAAGGGACGAAAGUCUGAUGCAGCAACGCCGCGUGGAGGAUGAAACAUUUCGGUGCGUAAACUCCUUUUAUAUGAGAAGAUAAUGACGGUAUUAUAUGAAUAAGCACCGGCUAACUCCGUGCCAGCAGCCGCCGUAA